AUGAAAUGCUGUCCGACUUCACAGUGUGGGACAGUAUAUCUCGGAGAGAAACAGAGAGUGAUCAGCACUGACUGCUCACCCAGCUGUGCAGGAGGUUUGUGCAACCGUGCUGGACACGAGGCUACAAAUGAGAUGAUGAGGUUUCACUCUAAGCUUUUAUUUGCAGCAUCCCUGGGUGUGUGCUAUGUAGGGUUAUCAAUUGUAAGCCCUAAAGUGAAUAUAUACAGAUGUAUGUAUAUACAUAUAGGGUUGUCAAUUGUAAGCCUUAAAGUGACUAUAUAUGUGUGUGUGUAUAUAUAUGUAUCUGUAUAUAUAUACAUAUCCCUGAAUUCUCUGCUGUUUUGGCCAUGUUUAAGAAAUGACACCAGCACUGAGAGUUCAUAUUAUAAGGAUGGGCAUGGUCUAGAGGAGCUGUGGAGCUAUGUAGAUGCUGCUAGGCCCAGGCAUGGAUGUCAAGCAGGACCCUCACCCUCUUGUUCCAUGACUGAUCAUUCCCUGUUGAGUGAUAAGUGCAGGUCGGGGGUCCAGAGCAUCCCAUGGGAUUAUGGCAUGGUUCCCACUUUGGCUUUUCCACAUAGGUCAGGAGCUUGGGCCAUCUGACUCUGCACCAUCUCCCCCUGAGCAACCGGAAUAUUAAGCCCACUUGGGAACAGCGGUGGCAAAGGGAGAAGGAAUGAAUGCAGAGCAGCUGAGCAGAGGGGGUGGUAUUUGUCUUCCAUGAAGUUGCCAGGCCUAUUUGUGGUGGAAACAGACAAUAGGUCCUGAGGAAACAUAUACUCACACCACAUGUGCUCACAUAUGGACCUUGCUUCCCAUGUCUCAUAUCUUACCACAAAGCACAAUCUACAGGAUAGACUUGCAUCCAGGGCAUGUACGACUUGGGCAUCACUAUGACUGGGAAAGAGCUACAUGCUCUACACCCCCAAUCCUCUUUUCAAAAGGAACCCUGGGUCUGGCUGCUCUCCAACCAAUGCCAGCAAGGAAGACCCACCUUCUUCUUCAUCCUGAUUGUUCGUCACUGGAGUGAUAAUUUCUGUAUAAGUAUCAUUUUCAUCAGUUACCUCAUCUACAAGGACCUAGAGAAAAGGAGACAUGGUGAGAAUCUAAGCUUCCUGUGCUCUAUGAACACAAGGUUUUUCAUUGUCUGUCCACACAAAACCAAAUGGGAAAUUGUCCCUGAGCCCAUGUUCCCAAGGAAUCUAAAGAGGUUGUCUGUGAGAAAUGCUUCAACUUUUCCCGGAAGAUCUCUCGAUUUUGACCAAAAAUUACAAAACCCUAUUGUUAUUAGGCCUAUUCUCUGAGAAAAUGCUCCCAACCAAAAACACAUGUUGUAACAGAUGCUGUCAUUUUUAAAAUGUCCAUCUGAAUCAUCCAUUUGGACAGACACACAAUUAAGAGUCAUCCAAGCCAGGAAAACUGUAUAUAUCCACUGCUCAAAACACUGUAGACUUUUGUAUUUGAAUUAGUUUGAAAAGCAGGAAAUGAAGCUAUGUUUUUUUUUAAUCAGAUAAAUAAACAUCACUUACCAUGGUGGCA
rnacentral:lncRNA from 1 species